rnacentral:SRP_RNA from 1 species
GCCGGGUGUGGUGGCGCAUGCCUGUGGUCCCAGCUACAUGGGAGGCUGAGGUGGGAGGAUCGCUUGAGCCCAGGAAGUUGAGGCUGCAGUGAGCUGUGAUCUCUCCACUGCACUCUGGCCUGGGUAACAGAGUGAAACUCCAUCUCAA